UUUUUUUUUUUGAGAGAGAUAGGUAGCACGCUAUCUGUUUCGUUUAUUUCAUUUUAGAAAUAAACUUAGCUGGAAAGGUGAAUCAACUAGAAUUCGAACUUGGGACCUCGGAUACCAACCACAAAAUCUUUUCCCACUUGCUCUACGGACAGUCGGUAACAUUUACCUAAGUUGAUAUCCAUAUUUUUUGCUUUCUUGAGGUGAUCAAGUUGGUGUUACAAUUACUUUUUUUGGUCUUGAAUCUUAUCUUUC
rnacentral:lncRNA from 1 species